CCUACGGGGGGCAGCAGUGAGGAAUAUUGGUCAAUGGCCGGAAGGCUGAACCAGCCAAGCCGCGUGAGGGAGGAAGGCGCAGAGCGUCGCAGACCUCUUUUGCCGGGGGACAAAAGGCCGGACUCGUCCGGUCCUGAGGGUACCCGGAGAAAAAGCAUCGGCUAACUCCGUGCCAGCAGCCGCGGUAAUACGGAGGAUGCGAGCGUUAUCCGGAUUUAUUGGGUUUAAAGGGUGCGUAGGCGGAUUGAUAAGUUAGAGGUGAAAUGUCCGAGCUCAACUCGGGAACUGCCUCUAAUACUGUUGAU
rnacentral:rRNA from 1 species